rnacentral:rRNA from 1 species
UGGAGCAUGUGGUUUAAUUCGAAGCAACGCGAAGAACCUUACCAGGUCUUGACAUCCCGAUGCUAUUUCUAGAGAUAGAAAGUUACUUCGGUACAUCGGUGACAGGUGGUGCAUGGUUGUCGUCAGCUCGUGUCGUGAGAUGUUGGGUUGAGUCCCGCAACGAGCGCAACCCCUAUUGUUAGUUGCCAUCAUUCAGUUGGGCACUCUAGCGAGACUGCCGGUAAUAAACCGGAGGAAGUGGGGAUGACGUCAAAUCAUCAUGCCCCUUAUGACCUGGGCUACACACGUGCUACAAUGGUUGGUACAACGAGUUGCGAGUCGGUGACGGCGAGCUAAUCUCUUAAAGCCAAUCUCAGUUCGGAUUGUAGGCUGCAACUCGCCUACAUGAAGUCGGAAUCGCUAGUAAUCGCGGAUCAGCACGCCGCGGUGAAUACGUUCCCGGGCCUU